rnacentral:misc_RNA from 1 species
GUCCAACGAAAAAAUGCCUUCUCUUUUCCAUAUUUCUUCUCCACUUCUACAAUCUACAUUUCUUCACCUACCAUUUCUUUCUUCUUCUUUGGUAAAAGGAUCCCAUGUUUGAUUAUGGAGAUGAAUUUACAAUAGAAACCUAUAGAAUCCCAUGGCUUAUUUGGAUCCAAAUCCUAAUCUUCUUCCUCUUAAUCUUUCUUCUCUGUUGUUUCAGUGUUUUUACUUCAGAUCCCUUGCACUCCGACACAAAAACCAUCUCCUGCUCCUCCACCUCUUCUUCUUCAGUCGCUGCUGCUUCUUAUUUAAACAAGCCACUUCUCAACCACAGUACUACCACAACACUCGCAAAUCGCUUGCAUCGUCACCAGAUAAGAGAGAGUCAAAGAAUAAAAGGGGAGAUGGCAACAAGCACAAGUACAAGAAUAGCGACUCAAGAGAAUACAGAAACGGAACGCAUUUCAACAAACUCCAUCAUUGAUCUCCAUCCCUGCAACUAUUUUAGGCUUGCCAAACUUGCACUUCUGAAGUGUUUAGGGUUAGAUCCAUCCUCUGAUAAUUGUCCAAGCUCCGACAGGUAAAAAGACAGAUAGGUUUGCUGUACAGGGAAGUGGGAAUUUGUUGCCUAAUUCUACAGAAGCAAAGAUUGAGUUAUCAGCCAUUAUAAUUCAGGGACAAAGGGAUCGAUGGUAUAGAAAGCAAGUCAGAGAUUGUGGUUCAAUCCAAGGUGAAUAUACUCGAGAUUAGACGUUCACUAAAGCUAAUCAUUGUUAAUCCUUGGGGUCCUCAUUUUUAAGUUAAAAAGCCAAUUCAUUUACUGAAGAAAGAUCAAAUUGAUUGGAGCAGUGCUCUUUCCAACAAUUUCAUGUGUAUUUUUUUACGAAGAACAUAAGUUUUUGCAAGAAAUCCAGUCAAAUAUGCAUCAGUUAUCAGGGUUGUGUUAUUACUAAACAAUAACUCUGGUUUUGUACUUACGUUGAGUUUUAGGCUGCCCAUCAAUGUUAGGGGGCAUUGACGGAAAAAUUAAUUGCAGAAUAAAAUAAUUCUCUCUCAAUA